rnacentral:rRNA from 1 species
UAGGGAAUCUUCCGCAAUGGACGAAAGUCUGACGGAGCAACGCCGCGUGAGUGAAGAAGGAUUUCGGUUCGUAAAACUCUGUUGUUAGGGAAGAAAAAAUGUAUAGUAACUAUAUACAAAAGAGACGGUACCUAACCAGAAAGCUACGGCUAACUACGUGCCAGCAGCCGCGGUAAUACGUAGGUGGCAAGCGUUGUUCGGAAUUAUUGGGCGUAAAGCGCGCGCAGGUGGAUUAGAAAGUCUGAUGUGAAAGCCCACGGCUCAACCGUGGAGGAUCAUUGGAAACUAAUAAACUUGAGUGCAGGAGAGAGAGGUGGAAUUCCUAGUGUAGCGGUGAAAUGCGUGGAGAUUGGGGGGAACACCGGUGGCGAAAGCGGCUUUUUGGCCUGCAACUGACACUGAGGCGCGAAAGCGUGGGGAGCAAACAGG